CGCGCCCCUCCCCGGCGCGCUCCCACGCCCGGCGCGGGUUCCCAGGCCGCCCCCCCGCGGUGGCCCAGAGACCCAGUUUGCGGCGGCAAAACAUUGGUCUCCGGGCAACAGGCCCCGCCCGCCCUGGGGCGGCCCGAGCGAGCCCAGCCGCGCCGGGGCAGGGUGGCGGCGAGGCGGCUGGGCCCCGGCCUGGAGCCCGGGGCCCUCACCCUCCCAGAGGCCUGCAGGGCGCAGAGACCCGGAGACAGAGAGCCAGCAACUCGGACCUGGAGAUUCGGGGCCCCGGAGCAAGAAGCACGGAGAAAUUCGUGGAGGCUGAAGCCACAGGGAUCUGUCUGGGACGCAGUGAGGAAGAGAGAUCUGGAGACAAGCAAGGACGGGCCCCCACAAUAAACACAGAGAUAGCGAGCGAGAUGAACACAGACCACCCCAGGCCCGCAGGGACGCCUCUGAAGAUAAGAGCAUCCGUUCAGAGAGCAGAGGCCCCAUCCCAACAUCACACGGUAGUCAGCUGUGAGGGGCUCCGUGCUGUCCACGAUCGAUCGGUGGAAUCCCUUUGGGAACAAGUUUGGGAGUCGAAUAAUAAAAUUAAAAAAAAAAAAAUCAGAUCCGGAGAGCGAUCCAGAAAUGAACAGAAACUCAGGACACAGAGACUCAGAAAAAGAAGGGGGGCCAGGGGAGGGCAGGGGCCCAGAAAGGGACCUAGGGGAACAGAGACAGUGACAGAGAUGCACAGAAAUACCGAAACAGAGAUAGAGAGAGAUAGGGGUCAGAAAGAUGCAGACAGAGAGGCACAUUAAGAGGCAGAGACUGAGGCGGCCAUUUAGGGGCAGGGAUACCCCAAGAGAGGAACAUUUGCUUUUCAAUGAGACAGUAUACACAUGGCCCACGUUUUAUAGGCCCUGCUUUCGAGAAGCAGCCUGUACCGUAGUUUGGCAAUUGCAAGCUUACCAAGCCAGGUCUCCUCCUCAGGCCCGGUAUGUAGGAUGCACAUUAAAUGCGUUUAUAUAACCUGCCCUCUGUGCAGAAUCUAGGAGCUUUACAUAACAUAGCCCCGUGAGUCAUGCUGCAGACAUGGGGCACUGACCUGACACACCCAACAAGAGGGGACCCCCUUACCCAGGGCCACUAUCUGGAAAUGACUCUGAGAUGUGGGAGAUCAUGGGUUUCACUGAGGAUGAAGUAGAGGUCAGAGGAGGGCAGGGCACUUGCUCUGGGUCACACAGCCAGGAUCCAGCAGCACAGGAAUUCCAACCAUAUCUGCCUGAUUUCAUAGCCUUUGCACCCCAAGGCACCGAGAAAGGCAAUGACUACCAAUGUGCCUCUUUCCAGAGGGGAGGAAAUAGACCGGUAAUAACACAACAGCCCCCCUGGGUAUUGAGUGCAUUGUGCCACAGGGAGUACUUUACAAACACCAUCUCAUUUAUUCCAAAGCCCGGUGAGGUAGGGACAGAAUCCAGCUAUUAAAUAAUAUAAUUAUAACAUAAUUAUACCCGUUAUAUACAGAGCACUAACACUGUACUAAGUGCUUAAGAGGACUUCAUACAGUCACAGCUCUGGAGGUGGGUGAUGUUAUCACCUCCAUUUCAGGAAGGGAAGAGGCUCGAAGAAAGGAAGUCAGGCCAAGGUCAUAGAGAGGGUAUUUGAACCCAGGUCUCUCUGGAUGGUUAUCGCUGCCACCCAUUCCCCGGGGGAUGUGCCCGCAGUGCAUCUAUGCACCGUGCAAUCGAUGUAACAUCUAACACUGACAUCUCAAAUACUUUAGUUCAAAUACCAAGAGCUCCUGCCUCAUCUUUCUCU
ensembl:lncRNA